GGCACCACAACAACUUUUUUACAAUGUUGAAUUUCUACCACAAUGAAAACAACUUUACAGAUGUGGACAGCAACGAGAGUUGACAGUACAGAUCGGGUCUAAUGCGCUUACCUGCUUUGUCAUCCGUUCCCCAUGAAAUAAGAUCCCUCUAAGAGAUAAUUUUCCCCUUGAAUGAACAUUCUAAUCAGACAACUUGUUCUCUUGUAUCCCUUUGAGAUCUCAAUU
rnacentral:lncRNA from 1 species